GAUGUACGCUGGCGGCGUGCCUAAUACAUGCAAGUCGAGCGGUAAGGUUCUGCACUUAGUAUUUGACUCUGAUAAGUCCAUGUAAAUGGAUACUGUCGGAAAAGUACAUCUCUAGGCUAGAGAUUGUAUGUCGAAUGUUGAGUGUAGAAUACACGAGCGGCGGACGGCUGAGUAACGCGUAGGAACAUACCCCAAAGUGA
rnacentral:rRNA from 1 species